AACGAACGUUGGCGGCGUGGAUGAGGCAUGCAAGUCGCGGGAAUCCCCAGCAAUGGGGGGAACCGGCGUAAGGGGCAGUAAGGCGUAGGUACCUACCCCGGGGUCCGGGAUAGCCCGCCGAGAGGCGGGGUAAUACCGGAUGACCUCGGGAGAGCAAAGCUCCGGCGCCCCGGGCGGGGCCUACGUGAUAUUAGCUAGUUGGCGGGGUAAUGGCCCACCAAGGCAUAGAUGUCUAGCGGGUGUGAGAGCACGACCCGCGCCACUCGCACUGAGACACUGGCGAGACACCUACGGGUGGCUGCAGUCGAGGAUCUUCGGCAAUGCGCGCAAGCGCGACCGAGCGACGCCGCGUGGGCGACGAAGGCCUUCGGGUUGUAAAGCCCUGUCGAGGGGGAGAAAGCCGCAAGGCGGAUCCAUCCCUGGAGGAAGCUCGGGCUAAGUUCGUGCCAGCAGCCGCCGUAAAAC
rnacentral:rRNA from 1 species